CAUCUUGAUGACGCUCUGUGAUGCGUUGCUUGUUGCCUGGGUAGCGAUUGUUAGCUAUUAUGCAAAUGGCUUGUCAUCAAUCGGGGAUGUGGCUGCUCCUCCCUAUAAAUGGGCCAAGGGGGGCAGUGGGAGCCAGAGUGUUGGAGAGGGGAGAUGGGAGAAGGUGGAAACAGAAAAGGAGGAGGAUGAGGAAGAGGCAUAGGUGGAAAAGGGGGAGUAAGAGAGGAAGGGGGCAGUGGAGGAGGUGGCGGAGGAGGAGGUGGCGGAGAAGAUUGAGGAGGUGGCGGCAUGAGUAGGAGUGGUGACAAAAGAGGAGGGGUUGUCAUUCGUGGACAAAUACUGGGUUAAGUACACCAUCGCUGCAAGAGGAGCACAAGCUACCUGCAAAUGGGCAAAUAUACCUCUGCAAGUUUUCUUACAAGGGAUUAAGACAAAAAGGCCUGUGCCUGGCAGAGGGAGCACUGAACGAUGAUCUAGCAAAGCAGUCUAUCGCAGACAGACAACACUGGCCCGGAAAUCCUGCUGGAAAAUUUGGUGUACCUGAAACUGAGACGGAAAUUGGAACUUCCAACAAAACGCUGUAGGGUAGAAGUUGUUUUAGCUGAACAUACUGGGCACAUAUUUGAGUGCAAAAGGACCAUGGCACUGUGACCCUGUAAGGUAGCAGCUGGCGGCUCCUAUCAUCUUGAUGACGCUCUGUGAUGCAUUGCUUGUUGCCUGGGUAGCGAUUGUUAGCUAUUAUGCAAAUGGCUUGUCAUCAAUCAAGGGUGUGGCUGCUCCUCCCUAUAAAAGGGCCAAAGGGGGGCAGUGGGAGCCAGAGUAUUGGAGAGUGGAGAUGGGAGAAGGUGGAAAAAGAAAAGGAGGAGGAUGAGGAAGAGGCAUAGGUGGAAAAGGGGGAGUAAGAGAACAAGGGGGCAGUGGAGGAGGUGGUGGCGGUGGAGGAGGUGGUGGUGGC